rnacentral:lncRNA from 1 species
GGGCAGGGCAGGGCCAGGCCGCGCUCGCUCGCUCGCGCUCACACUCGCACUCACGCUGUACCGUGUUUACUGGAGGUAAACAUGAACGCACAAAAUGUAGCGUAAAAAUACUGCGCACCAUUGCGAUUAUCUUCAAACGGCAGCGUUUUCGAUUUUUGCAGUUUAGUCAUGGAUCCCCCCCUCCUUCCUGUGUUGCCACCCACUGAUGUCUUCGAGCACACACUCAUAGGGAGGGAAAACAGUGACACACUGUACCAAACCAACAAAUUCAUAAUUCAUACACUAGGAGCGCGACACACUCGCACUGUGACUGUACCAAACCACCGUCAUGCACGGUACGAAUGCGACACGUUUCCAUUUGGUACCAGUGUAAAACACUCCUAAUAGUGUAGUGUAUGAGGACGGCCCGUGAUUUCUAUUCUGAUCGAAAAACUUACUUCGCAUUUACAUUUAUUCACUUUGCAGACGCUUUUUUUUUUUGUCCAAAGCGACCUACGUCUCAGCACAUACAGUAGGUACAACUUAUGCAUUAUUUGAUCCGUGUGAGAAUUCGUACAAUUGCUGAGCACCUCUUGGGCAGUUUAAUCGCAUUUCCCAAUUUUCAACCUUGUGUUACGUACGCGUAAUAAAACAGAAGUUAAGGUGAUAUUUAUACUAAGGCACGAGUCGAGGAGUCGGUUUGAAUUAUUGCAGAAAAUAAUAAUAAUAACGCAUUCAUCAUCAUGACUGAGACGGAAUUAGGAACGUAGCCGGCGCGCGUGGCACGCUCCGCGCGCCAGCCCCGCCAACGCGCGCCUUUGACUGUUACGGCCUUGGAUGGGAGUCCAGACAGUCUAACAGGAAGCUCAUUCUGCUUCUCCUCUCCACUUUUUUUUUUGGGAUUUGUCUGGAUGUGAGCCAAGCCCAGUUCCGACGCGAAGCCACGCAGAUGUCCACGGCACCGAGCGAGGGCCGCUUCCAGGAUUUUUUAAGGUUGUCGCAACAGGGCCCUUCUGAAGAAUUGAACCCAGCAUGCAUAUUACGCUAUUGGGCUGGAGCCGAGGAGAUGAAGAGGUGCUAUUAUCAAUGGACACUUCGGAUCAGGAAUAACAUCCAGAAAGCACUGAAACCAAAAAGGGAAAAUUGGAUCAUUAAUUAUGGACCUGCAGUUAUUCCUAAAACAGACAAUAAAAGCUGUUUGGAGGCUUCCGACGUUUUUACUGGUAAAUUUAUUAAUCUUGCCGACUCCAUUCCCAAGGUAACUUACAUUAUGUUUGU